UGAGUAUAUCACUAGUGUGUUAGAGUUUUAUUCACCAGUUCACAGAACCAUUACUUUUUAAAUGUAUUUCAAUAGACAAUGAGGAUCCAGUCCAUCACAGAGUAUCCACAACUUUCCAGACCAACAUAUGUGCCAGACAUCUGCAUCACAGUAGACCGAUCUAUUCAGGAGAAAUUUCAACCCAGUGAGAAUUCAGGAGCAAAGAUUGGGGAUGUCUUUCCCAGGAAGAUGUGCAUUAUUAUGGCUGAACCACCCCAAUGCUGAGAGAAAUUUUCAGAAGAGUUACACCAUAGA